rnacentral:rRNA from 1 species
UACGUAGGUGGCAAGCGUUGUCCGGAUUUACUGGGCGUAAAGAGCGCGCAGGCGGUUAUUCAAGUCGAAUGUGAAAGCCCCCGGCUUAACUGGGGAGGGUCAUUCGAUACUGUUUAACUUGAAGGCAGGAGAGGGUAGUGGAAUUCCCGGUGUAGUGGUGAAAUGCGUAGAUAUCCGGAGGAACACCAGUGGCGAAAGCGGCUCUCUGGGGGCAACCUGACGCUGAGGCGCGAAAGCUAGGGUAGCAAACGGG